rnacentral:rRNA from 1 species
UUAAGCGACUAAGCGUACACGGUGGAUGCCCUGGCAGUCAGAGGCGAUGAAGGACGUGCUAAUCUGCGAUAAGCGUCGGUAAGGUGAUAUGAACCGUUAUAACCGGCGAUUUCCGAAUGGGGAAACCCAGUGUGAUUCGACACACUAUCAUUAACUGAAUCCAUAGGUUAAUGAGGCGAACCGGGGGAACUGAAACAUCUAAGUACCCCGAGGAAAAGAAAUCAACCGAGAUUCCCCCAGUAGCGGCGAGCGAACGGGGAGGAGCCCAGAGCCUGAAUCAGUGUGUGUGUUAGUGGAAGCGUCUGGAAAGGCGCGCGAUACAGGGUGACAGCCCCGUACACAAAAAUGCACAUAUUGUGAGCUCGAUGAGUAGGGCGGGACACGUGGUAUCCUGUCUGAAUAUGGGGGGACCAUCCUCCAAGGCUAAAUACUCCUGACUGACCGAUAGUGAACCAGUACCGUGAGGGAAAGGCGAAAAGAACCCCGGCGAGGGGAGUGAAAAAGAACCUGAAACCGUGUACGUACAAGCAGUGGGAGCCUCUUAAUGGGGUGACUGCGUACCUUUUGUAUAAUGGGUCAGCGACUUAUAUUCUGUAGCAAGGUUAACCGAAUAGGGGAGCCGAAGGGAAACCGAGUCUUAACUGGGCGUUAAGUUGCAGGGUAUAGACCCGAAACCCGGUGAUCUAGCCAUGGGCAGGUUGAAGGUUGGGUAACACUAACUGGAGGACCGAACCGACUAAUGUUGAAAAAUUAGCGGAUGACUUGUGGCUGGGGGUGAAAGGCCAAUCAAACCGGGAGAUAGCUGGUUCUCCCCGAAAGCUAUUUAGGUAGCGCCUCGUGAAUUCAUCUCCGGGGGUAGAGCACUGUUUCGGCAAGGGGGUCAUCCCGACUUACCAACCCGAUGCAAACUGCGAAUACCGGAGAAUGUUAUCACGGGAGACACACGGCGGGUGCUAACGUCCGUCGUGAAGAGGGAAACAACCCAGACCGCCAGCUAAGGUCCCAAAGUCAUGGUUAAGUGGGAAACGAUGUGGGAAGGCCCAGACAGCCAGGAUGUUGGCUUAGAAGCAGCCAUCAUUUAAAGAAAGCGUAAUAGCUCACUGGUCGAGUCGGCCUGCGCGGAAGAUGUAACGGGGCUAAACCAUGCACCGAAGCUGCGGCAGCGACACUAUGUGUUGUUGGGUAGGGGAGCGUUCUGUAAGCCUGUGAAGGUGUACUGUGAGGUAUGCUGGAGGUAUCAGAAGUGCGAAUGCUGACAUAAGUAACGAUAAAGCGGGUGAAAAGCCCGCUCGCCGGAAGACCAAGGGUUCCUGUCCAACGUUAAUCGGGGCAGGGUGAGUCGACCCCUAAGGCGAGGCCGAAAGGCGUAGUCGAUGGGAAACAGGUUAAUAUUCCUGUACUUGGUGUUACUGCGAAGGGGGGACGGAGAAGGCUAUGUUGGCCGGGCGACGGUUGUCCCGGUUUAAGCGUGUAGGCUGGUUUUCCAGGCAAAUCCGGAAAAUCAAGGCUGAGGCGUGAUGACGAGGCACUACGGUGCUGAAGCAACAAAUGCCCUGCUUCCAGGAAAAGCCUCUAAGCAUCAGGUAACAUCAAAUCGUACCCCAAACCGACACAGGUGGUCAGGUAGAGAAUACCAAGGCGCUUGAGAGAACUCGGGUGAAGGAACUAGGCAAAAUGGUGCCGUAACUUCGGGAGAAGGCACGCUGAUAUGUAGGUGAAGCGACUUGCUCGUGGAGCUGAAAUCAGUCGAAGAUACCAGCUGGCUGCAACUGUUUAUUAAAAACACAGCACUGUGCAAACACGAAAGUGGACGUAUACGGUGUGACGCCUGCCCGGUGCCGGAAGGUUAAUUGAUGGGGUUAGCGGCAACGCGAAGCUCUUGAUCGAAGCCCCGGUAAACGGCGGCCGUAACUAUAACGGUCCUAAGGUAGCGAAAUUCCUUGUCGGGUAAGUUCCGACCUGCACGAAUGGCGUAAUGAUGGCCAGGCUGUCUCCACCCGAGACUCAGUGAAAUUGAACUCGCUGUGAAGAUGCAGUGUACCCGCGGCAAGACGGAAAGACCCCGUGAACCUUUACUAUAGCUUGACACUGAACAUUGAGCCUUGAUGUGUAGGAUAGGUGGGAGGCUUUGAAGUGUGGACGCCAGUCUGCAUGGAGCCGACCUUGAAAUACCACCCUUUAAUGUUUGAUGUUCUAACGUGGGCCCCUAAUCCGGGUUGCGGACAGUGUCUGGUGGGUAGUUUGACUGGGGCGGUCUCCUCCUAAAGAGUAACGGAGGAGCACGAAGGUUGGCUAAUCCUGGUCGGACAUCAGGAGGUUAGUGCAAUGGCAUAAGCCAGCUUGACUGCGAGCGUGACGGCGCGAGCAGGUGCGAAAGCAGGUCAUAGUGAUCCGGUGGUUCUGAAUGGAAGGGCCAUCGCUCAACGGAUAAAAGGUACUCCGGGGAUAACAGGCUGAUACCGCCCAAGAGUUCAUAUCGACGGCGGUGUUUGGCACCUCGAUGUCGGCUCAUCACAUCCUGGGGCUGAAGUAGGUCCCAAGGGUAUGGCUGUUCGCCAUUUAAAGUGGUACGCGAGCUGGGUUUAGAACGUCGUGAGACAGUUCGGUCCCUAUCUGCCGUGGGCGCUGGAGAACUGAGGGGGGCUGCUCCUAGUACGAGAGGACCGGAGUGGACGCAUCACUGGUGUUCGGGUUGUCAUGCCAAUGGCACUGCCCGGUAGCUAAAUGCGGAAGAGAUAAGUGCUGAAAGCAUCUAAGCACGAAACUUGCCCCGAGAUGAGUUCUCCCUGACCCUUUAAGGGUCCUGAAGGAACGUUGAAGACGACGACGUUGAUAGGCCGGGUGUGUAAGCGCAGCGAUGCGUUGAGCUAACCGGUACUAAUGAACCGUGAGGCUUAACCUU